UUGAAAGGGAAACGAUUGAAGUCAGUCAUGCUAAUAGGGAAUCAACUUGAUGGGUCGUUCCCCCGGGAGCGAUCUUUCUUGUGCACUUCCUUGUUCGGCAGGUUAGCAUCAAUUUCGGUUAUCAUCAAAAAAUUGAGGGAAUGUGACUUCUUUCGGGAAGUGUUAUAGACCUUGGUUAUAUGUGAUAACUGGGAUUGAGGAUUGCAGCGGAUGCUUUUGGGCUAGUCACCUACCUUCUGACGGUUACCCUGCUUUCGAUAGCUUGCUAACGAUCGUGGGAUAUAACAGUCCUAGAUGUUAGAGUGAUCUUAUAUUCGUUAAGGAUGUUGACGUA
rnacentral:rRNA from 1 species